rnacentral:rRNA from 1 species
CGAAUCUUCCGCAAUGCGCGAAAGCGUGACGGAGCAAUGCCGCGUGCGGGAUGAAGCCCUUCGGGGUGUAAACCGCUGUCAGGGGUCAGCAACACAAUGAGCAACCCCAAAGGAAGAGGCGACUAACUCUGUGCCAGCAGUCGCGGUAAUACAGAGGCCUCGAGCGUUAAUCGGAAUCACUGGGCUUAAAGCGUACGUAGGCGGACAUGCAGGCGUCGUGUGAAAGCCCCCGGCUCAACCGGGGAACUGCACGGCGAACCGCAUGUCUCGAGUCAAGUAGGGGCUGUCGGAACGCUAGGUGGAGUGGUGAAAUGCGUUGAUAUCUAGCGGAACACCGAAGGUGAAGACAGGCAGCUGGGCUUGCACUGACGCUGAGGUACGAAAGCGUGGGUAGCGAAC